AUAGCACUGAAAAAGGGGAAAAUUUUGCCCUUAGAAUGUAACCAACUGAAGUUAUUUUAUUAUUUAUGUCUUACGGUAAGACAUGAAAUAGAGAAGAAAAAUAAUUUGAGAUUUCAAGUUUAUUAGCUAUGAAAAUAAUAAUAAUUAUUAUUACAGAGAUUACCUAUAGCACUUCUUACUUUCUUUCAGGACCAGAAAAUGACUUGGAGCUUAGUUCCCACUAUUAGCUUUCUCUGGAAUUUUCUUGAAUCAAAGCCCUCAAUUUAUUGGGCUGCCACAAGAACAAAUAUUCCACACACAACAGUUAGGUGACUUUGCAUAGCAUUUUGUAAUUUAAUUGUAGUCCAUAAAUAUUCAACUGCUAUAAAUUGCUAAAAUUGCAUUUAAUGUACAGAAAUAAAGGCCUGUUUUUCCAAAUCUGCAUUUCCUUUAGCACAAGAAAUCAAGAUCAAACAUGCUCUAGCAUUGCUUCAUCUUUAACAUGCUUUUCUAAUCAGCACUGGCACUUUUUUUUUUUUCAUCAUACCUACCCUCAUCUGGUUCUAUGUUCUUCUCUUCCUUAGGAAAAGCCAAAGACGUCUGUUGCAGUUGUAAAAACUCUUGCUUGAAAAAACAAAUGUGUCUUUUUGUCCAGACUGCCCACUGCUGGCAACAAGCAUUUGGAUCUUGUUCGUAUCCAUCAGAAAGACUGCAAAGAUGUAUUAUCUGGAACAUGAACUAGACUGCAGAAAAUGAUUUAUAGAAUCAUAGAAUCAUCUAGGUUGGAAAAGACCUUCAAGAUCAUCAACUCAUUAUCAUCAAUUUAGUAGCUGUCCAAGUCAAGAACUGAUACCCCGCAAUGUAAAACAAGACUAUGUAAUUGUAUAAUAGAUGUUUCUGCAAUCUAUCAGACUGUAGGACCCUAUGGCUUGAUACCCUGCCUGUGAUAAAGGUCAAAUCAGACACUUCAGAAGCUCUAUGGAAUUAAAUUUGGCUGGAUGCAAGAUAAGCUGCCUCUCUAUUCCUGUUACCUCUUCUGCCUCUACAAAUUAGGCAAGUUUUAUAAUUUAAAUAUUGCUCUUUAUAUCCUAAACAGAAAUUUCUGUUGGUGCCAAAUUAGAAAAACACUGUAUAUUCUUGAUAUCUUGAAUGUUAAAGCUUCUUUUCAAGCUUUCUGAAUUUUAUGUGACAGUAAGCUCCACGAUAUGGU